UGUAGUGUGGUGCAAGCAGUCGCGGGAAUGAGGAUGGGUGAAGGGUCAAUCGGAAUGACCGGGCGUAAAGCGGUGUCGUGCGGCUUAUUAAUUCAGAUGUGAAAUCACUAGGCGUAACCUAUGAACUGCAUGUGAAACUAAGAAACUAGAGGAUCGUAGAGGGGGGUAGAAGUCCAGGUUGAGCGGGGAAAUGCGUAGAUAUCUGGAGGAAUACCAGUGGCGAAGGCGACCUCCUGGACGAAAACUGACGCUCAAGCACGAAAGCAUGGGGAGCAAACAGGAUUAGAUACCCCAGUAGUC
rnacentral:rRNA from 1 species